AGCGAACGCUGGCGGCAGGCCUAACACAUGCAAGUCGAACGAACCUUUCGGGGUUAGUGGCGGACGGGUGAGUAACACGUGGGAACGUGCCUUUAGGUUCGGAAUAACUCAGGGAAACUUGUGCUAAUACCGAAUGUGCCCUUCGGGUGAAAGAUUAAUCGCCUUUAGAGCGGCCCGCGUCUGAUUAGCUAGUUGGUUGAGGUAAUGGCUCACCAAGGCGACGAUCAGUAGCUGGUCUGAGAGGAUGAUCAGCCACAUUGGGACUGAGACACGGCCCAAACUCCUACGGGAGGCAGCAGUGGGGAAUCUUGCGCAAUGGGCGAAAGCCUGACGCAGCCAUGCCGCGUGAAUGAUGAAGGUCUUAGGAUUGUAAAAUUCUUUCACCGGGGACGAUAAUGACGGUACCCGGAGAAGAAGCCCCGGCUAACUUCGUG
rnacentral:rRNA from 1 species